rnacentral:rRNA from 1 species
GCAAGUCGAACGGUGUCUUCGGACAUAGUGGCGCACGGGUGCGUAACACGUAUGCAACCUACCUUACAUUGGGGGAUAGCCUUUCGAAAGGAAGAUUAAUACCGCAUAAGACAGUAACUAGGCAUCUAGUAGCUGUUAAAGAUUUAUCGAUGUAAGCUGGGCAUGCGACCAAUUAGCUAGUUGGUGAGGUAAUGGCUCACCAAGGCUAUGAUUGGUAGGGGAACUGAGAGGUCAAUCCCCCACACUGGCACUGAGAUACGGGCCAGACUCCUACGGGAGGCAGCAGUAGGGAAUAUUGGGCAAUGGACGCAAGUCUGACCCAGCCAUGCCGCGUGCAGGAUGAAGGCGUUAUGCGUUGUAAACUGCUUUUAUACAGGAAGAAACGACUCUUGCGAGAGGCAUUGACGGUACUGUAUGAAUAAGCACCGGCUAACUCCGUGCCAGCAGCCGCGGUAAUACGGAGGGUGCAAGCGUUGUCCGGAUUUAUUGGGUUUAAAGGGUGCGCAGGUGGUUUAUUAAGUCAGUGGUGAAAGACGGUCGCUCAACGAUUGCAGUGCCAUUGAAACUGGUAGACUUGAGUAAAGUAGAGGUGGGCGGAAUUGAUAGUGUAGCGGUGAAAUGCAUAGAUAUUAUCAAGAACUCCAAUUGCGUAGGCAGCUCACUUGGCUUUUACUGACACUCAUGCACGAAAGUGUGGGUAUCAAACAGGAUUAGAUACCCUGGUAGUCCACACUGUAAACGAUGAUAACUAGGUGUCGGCCGAAUCUGGUCGGUGCCACAGCGAAAGCGUUAAGUUAUCCACCUGGGGAGUACGCCGGCAACGGUGAAACUCAAAGGAAUUGACGGGGGUC